AGAGAAUAGUUUAGUACAAAAUACCAGCUUUGGGAGUUGGUGAUGGAGGUUUAGUCCUCUUUCUCUGAA
rnacentral:tRNA from 1 species